rnacentral:rRNA from 1 species
AGAGUUUGAUCAUGGCUCAGGAUGAACGCUAGCGGCAGGCUUAAUACAUGCAAGUCGUGGGGCAGCACAGGUAGCAAUACUGGGUGGCGACCGGCAAACGGGUGCGGAACACGUACGCAACCUUCCUUUAAGUCGGGGAUAGCCCAGGGAAACUUGGAUUAAUACCCCUUAACAUUAUGAGAUGGCAUCAUUUUAUAAUUAAAGCUCCGGCGCUUAAAGAUGGGCGUGCGCCUGAUUAGGUAGUUGGCGGGGUAACAGCCCACCAAGCCUACGAUCAGUAACUGGUGUGAGAGCACGACCAGUCACACGGGCACUGAGACACGGGCCCGACUCCUACGGGAGGCAGCAGUAAGGAAUAUUGGUCAAUGGACGCAAGUCUGAACCAGCCAUGCCGCGUGGAGGAUGGCGGCCCUCUGGGUUGUAAACUCCUUUUAUCUGGGAAGAAAUGCAGAUAUUCUUAUCUGUUUGACGGUACCAGAGGGAUAAGCACCGGCUAACUCCGUGCCAGCAGCCGCGGUAAUACGGAGGGUGCAAGCGUUAUCCGGAUUCACUGGGUUUAAAGGGUGCGUAGGUGGAGUGGUAAGUCAGUGGUGAAAUCUCCAAGCUUAACUUGGAAACUGCCGUUGAUACUAUCAUUCUUGAAUAUCGUGGAGGUAAGCGGAAUAUGUCAUGUAGCGGUGAAAUGCUUAGAUAUGACAUAGAACACCGAUUGCGAAGGCAGCUUGCUACACGAUCAUUGACACUGAGGCACGAAAGCGUGGGGAUCAAACAGGAUUAGAUACCCUGGUAGUCCACGCCCUAAACGAUGAUUACUCGACAUCAGCGAUACACUGUUGGUGUCUGAGCGAAAGCAUUAAGUAAUCCACCUGGGAAGUACGAUCGCAAGAUUGAAACUCAAAGGAAUU